rnacentral:rRNA from 1 species
AUUGAACGCUGGCGGCAGGCCUAACACAUGCAAGUCGAGCGGAUGAAGGGAGCUUGCUCCUGGAUUCAGCGGCGGACGGGUGAGUAAUGCCUAGGAAUCUGCCUGGUAGUGGGGGAUAACGUCCGGAAACGGGCGCUAAUACCGCAUACGUCCUGAGGGAGAAAGUGGGGGAUCUUCGGACCUCACGCUAUCUGAUGAGCCUAGGUCGGAUUAGCUAGUUGGUGGGGUAAAGGCCUACCAAGGCGACGAUCCGUAACUGGUCUGAGAGGAUGAUCAGUCACACUGGAACUGAGACACGGUCCAGACUCCUACGGGAGGCAGCAGUGGGGAAUAUUGGACAAUGGGCGAAAGCCUGAUGCAGCAAUGCCGCGUGUGUGAAGAAGGUCUUCGGAUUGUAAAGCACUUUAAGUUGGGAGGAAGAGCAGUAAGUUAAUACCUUGCUGUUUUGACGUUACCAACAGAAUAAGCACCGGCUAACUACGUG